UACCACCUGACUAUACUGUGUUAAAUCAACAGGGCUGUUGGAAAAAAAAAGCACAAGAAUGGCUUGAGAUAAGCCACCUCCCUGGUAAACACUUCAGGGUUGUUAAGAGACAAUGCCCAUGUUCAAUAACUGAGCAUUCCAAUUCUGGGUUCCAGCCAAGUUCCAGAACUUCUUUUGCUACAUGGGACCAGGGCAGGGAGCCAACAGACCAAGAGGAUCAGAAACAGUUGAAGACUCCCUGUCAUGAGGUGGCAGUUGUUGUUGGGGAGCUGUUCGGGCUGCUCCCCAGGACCGGCCACAGUGUCUGGAGAAGCUAGGCCUGCCUGGCCCACCAUCAUUAGCUGGCAGGGCUCUAGCAGCCCUUUCCCGGAGACAAACACCCAUGCAAAGGAACGGGCUCACGAGGCUGGACUUAACCCCUUGUGUACUGAGGAUCAGACAGGGAAACUAAAACAGAUGAAGUGAUUUACCGAAGUCACAGAGCAAAUUGCAGUUGGGAUUAGAACAUGAGGAUUGUAGUAACAUUGUAGCCAUUAUUGUUAUUUACACAUUUCUCUGCUUCAUUGAGUCCUGCUUUUGACAAAAUGGAUGUCUUAAUCUGUGUUAGAAUUAGCCAUGGUUUCAUGUGGUUUAUAGACCUUUAAUUAAGCUUCAUUUUGGUGCAAUUAUCUAAGGAAGGACUUUCUAGCUCCACAAACAGAAAAAAAGACUUUUUUUCUUGCUAAUGACUCUCUGUUGUCAUUACACCCAACAACCUAAUGUCUUUCUAGU